UACAGAGGUCUCAAGCGUUGUUCGGAUUCAUUGGGCGUAAAGGUGCGUAGGCGGCGCGGUAAGUCGGGUGUGAAAUUUCGAGGCUUAACUCGAAACUGCAUUCGAUACUGCCGUGCUAGAGGACUGGAGAGGAGACUGGAAUUUACGGUGUAGCGGUGAAAUGCGUAGAUAUCGUAAGGAAGACCAGUGGCGAAGGCGGGUCUCUGGACAGUUCCUGACGCUGAGGCACGAAGGCCAGGGGAGCAAACGGG
rnacentral:rRNA from 1 species